GGUUGGGUGUUGUGGAUAAUCCAAUCACUGGUUCAUCCAACUUUAUUCUGGGUUAGAAGUUAUGGUUAGACACUUGGUCACAGGUCCACUUCAUCGCAUGUCUCCAAACUCCAUACUCUAAUGGUGCAAUCGUAUGAUGAUGACAUAAUGUAUGGACCCUGUGAUUUAAGAUGGUUGCAUAUUGGUUUGAGUGCGGACACGUGACGAUUCUCUUGAUCUCCUCGCCUGUAUCGAUGAUGUCUUUCCUUCGUCCAUCCUCGUGGA